CCUAUCUCCCGGGUGGAUGGGUGGCCGCUCCCAGUGGAUAAGCCUCGACCAAACCCAGCAAAACUCGUGUUGUGGACUCUGUGUCGCGUCUGGCGCAGGAUUACAGCUGCUGUCCUGUGCCCUGGGUGGUGGUCCUUCCCAAAAAGUGUGUGCUUGUGUGCGCGCGUGUGUGUGUUUGUGUAGGAGUGUGAUGUGCGCGGAUGUGUGCAUGAAUGUGCAAUGCAAAUAGAGGCAAAAUAAAGCCACCCUCCUGCGCUGCUUUGAAGCCAAAGCCCAGCCGAGUGGAUCACACCCGAGCAAGUGUUUUAGGUUCGCAAGUGAAGUGCACGACGUAGGAAAGAAAAAGUGGAAGAAAAAAAAGAAGCAGAGCAAAAAAAAUGUGGUACAAACGAAGUGGCGUUUAGUGAGGCGAAGUGGCGAUUGAGCUUCAGUUGUGCCGCGUGAGGCAUGAAAUCGGGCAGCAACUUGCGGCAAAAAGGGCCCACUUCGAGUGAGGCAUCGAUUCGGCAUGAUGGCGGCAUGAUAUGCCCAUGACGUUUCUUCGUGCGAGUGGCAAUCGAUCGACCAGCCGGGAUGGAAGCGCACCCGUGUAUUAAAAAUGCUGCGUAAAACGACGACACGAUGCGCGAGCUCUCCAUGCGAGUGGUAAAGUGUAAGUUUCGUGCGCUCGAAUAACAGUAACGCACCUCGAUAGAGCACCAGCACAGCACGUUAAGCCGUCGUCAGGAAAGAUCAUUUAUCCAGUGGGUGACGUUCGCUCAAUAACACAGAAAAAAGGACGACGGCAAGCAAAACAAAAAAAAAACAAACGAAAAGUUGCUAGUUUGCCCCACUCGUUCGAUAACUUUCGGUUGGUACGUGGAUAAAAAAGAAAAACACUCUUCACGCGGCGUCGAACGAGCCCGCCUGUAAGGUGGGCUUGGGGCAAUGGUGCCACUCGCACACCGACACGCUGGUCCUUUGGAGCUUGGGCCCGGAAGGAAAGUUGGCCGGUUUUGAUUUGAAAAUCGUGUGAAUGUCGGCCCAAGUUUGGCAGUGGAUGGGCUUCCGGUUCGAUUCAGUGAGUUCGGUAAAGUUCAGUGCCAGUGC